rnacentral:rRNA from 1 species
UACGUAGGGUGCAAGCGUUGUCCGGAAUUACUGGGCGUAAAGGGCUCGUAGGCGGCCAACUAAGUCGGACGUGAAAUCCCCAGGCUCAACCUGGGAACUGCGUCCGAUACUGGAUGGCUUGAAUUCGGGAGAGGGAUGCAGAAUUCCAGGUGUAGCGGUGAAAUGCGUAGAUAUCUGGAGGAACACCGGUGGCGAAGGCGGCAUCCUGGACCGGUAUUGACGCUGAGGCGCGAAAGCUAGGGGAGCA